UACGGGGGGGGCAAGCGUUGUUCGGAUUUACUGGGCGUAAAGGGCGCGUAGGCGGCGCGGUAAGUCACUUGUGAAAUCUCUGAGCUUAACUCAGAACGGCCAAGUGAUACUGCAGUGCUAGAGUGCAGAAGGGGCAAUCGGAAUUCUUGGUGUAGCGGUGAAAUGCGUAGAUAUCAAGAGGAACACCUGAGGUGAAGACGGGUUGCUGGGCUGACACUGACGCUGGAGGCGCGAAAGCCAGGGGAGCAAACGGG
rnacentral:rRNA from 1 species